rnacentral:rRNA from 1 species
UUAGAGUUCUGGGCCGCACGCGCGCUACACUGACAGAGCCAACGAGUUCAUUUCCUUAGCCGAAAGGUUUGGGUAAUCUUGUUAAACUCUGUCGUGCUGGGGAUAGAGCAUUGCAAUUAUUGCUCUUCAACGAGGAAUGCCUAGUAAGCGCAUGUCAUCAGCAUGCGUUGAUUACGUCCCUGCCCUUUGUACACACCGCCCGUCGCUACUACCGAUUGAAUGGCUCGGUGAGGCCUUCGGACUGGCCCAGGGAGGUCGGCAACGACCACCCAGGGCCGGAAAGUUGGUCAAACCCGGUCAUUUAGAGGAAGUAAAAGUCGUAACAAGGUCUCCGUAGGUGAACCUGCGGAGGGAUCAUUACAAGUGACCCGGUUUACCACCGGGAUGGUCAUAACCCUUUGUUGUCCGACUCUGUUGCCUCCGGGGCGACCCUGCCUUCGGGCGGGGG